GGGGGGACCAUCCUCCAAGGCUAAAUACUCCUGACUGACCGAUAGUGAACCAGUACCGUGAGGGAAAGGCGAAAAGAACCCCGGCGAGGGGAGUGAAAAAGAACCUGAAACCGUGUACGUACAAGCAGUGGGAGCACGCUUAGGCGUGUGACUGCGUACCUUUUGUAUAAUGGGUCAGCGACUUAUAUUCUGUAGCAAGGUUAACCGAAUAGGGGAGCCGAAGGGAAACCGAGUCUUAACUGGGCGUUAAGUUGCAGGGUAUAGACCCGAAACCCGGUGAUCUAGCCAUGGGCAGGUUGAAGGUUGGGUAACACUAACUGGAGGACCGAACCGACUAAUGUUGAAAAAUUAGCGGAUGACUUGUGGCUGGGGGUGAAAGGCCAAUCAAACCGGGAGAUAGCUGGUUCUCCCCGAAAGCUAUUUAGGUAGCGCCUCGUGAAUUCAUCUCCGGGGGUAGAGCACUGUUUCGGCAAGGGGGUCAUCCCGACUUACCAACCCGAUGCAAACUGCGAAUACCGGAGAAUGUUAUCACGGGAGACACACGGCGGGUGCUAACGUCCGUCGUGAAGAGGGAAACAACCCAGACCGCCAGCUAAGGUCCCAAAGUCAUGGUUAAGUGGGAAACGAUGUGGGAAGGCCCAGACAGCCAGGAUGUUGGCUUAGAAGCAGCCAUCAUUUAAAGAAAGCGUAAUAGCUCACUGGUCGAGUCGGCCUGCGCGGAAGAUGUAACGGGGCUAAACCAUGCACCGAAGCUGCGGCAGCGACACUAUGUGUUGUUGGGUAGGGGAGCGUUCUGUAAGCCUGUGAAGGUGUACUGUGAGGUAUGCUGGAGGUAUCAGAAGUGCGAAUGCUGACAUAAGUAACGAUAAAGCGGGUGAAAAGCCCGCUCGCCGGAAGACCAAGGGUUCCUGUCCAACGUUAAUCGGGGCAGGGUGAGUCGACCCCUAAGGCGAGGCCGAAAGGCGUAGUCGAUGGGAAACAGGUUAAUAUUCCUGUACUUGGUGUUACUGCGAAGGGGGGACGGAGAAGGCUAUGUUGGCCGGGCGACGGUUGUCCCGGUUUAAGCGUGUAGGCUGGUUUUCCAGGCAAAUCCGGAAAACUAAGGCUGAGGCGUGAUGACGAGGCACUACGGUGCUGAAGCAACAAAUGCCCUGCUUCCAGGAAAAGCCUCUAAGCAUCAGGUAACAUCAAAUCGUACCCCAAACCGACACAGGUGGUCAGGUAGAGAAUACCAAGGCGCUUGAGAGAACUCGGGUGAAGGAACUAGGCAAAAUGGUGCCGUAACUUCGGGAGAAGGCACGCUGAUAUGUAGGUGAAGUCCCUCGCGGAUGGAGCUGAAAUCAGUCGAAGAUACCAGCUGGCUGCAACUGUUUAUUAAAAACACAGCACUGUGCAAACACGAAAGUGGACGUAUACGGUGUGACGCCUGCCCGGUGCCGGAAGGUUAAUUGAUGGGGUCAGCGCAAGCGAAGCUCUUGAUCGAAGCCCCGGUAAACGGCGGCCGUAACUAUAACGGUCCUAAGGUAGCGAAAUUCCUUGUCGGGUAAGUUCCGACCUGCACGAAUGGCGUAAUGAUGGCCAGGCUGUCUCCACCCGAGACUCAGUGAAAUUGAACUCGCUGUGAAGAUGCAGUGUACCCGCGGCAAGACGGAAAGACCCCGUGAACCUUUACUAUAGCUUGACACUGAACAUUGAGCCUUGAUGUGUAGGAUAGGUGGGAGGCUUUGAAGUGUGGACGCCAGUCUGCAUGGAGCCGACCUUGAAAUACCACCCUUUAAUGUUUGAUGUUCUAACGUUGACCCGUAAUCCGGGUUGCGGACAGUGUCUGGUGGGUAGUUUGACUGGGGCGGUCUCCUCCUAAAGAGUAACGGAGGAGCACGAAGGUUGGCUAAUCCUGGUCGGACAUCAGGAGGUUAGUGCAAUGGCAUAAGCCAGCUUGACUGCGAGCGUGACGGCGCGAGCAGGUGCGAAAGCAGGUCAUAGUGAUCCGGUGGUUCUGAAUGGAAGGGCCAUCGCUCAACGGAUAAAAGGUACUCCGGGGAUAACAGGCUGAUACCGCCCAAGAGUUCAUAUCGACGGCGGUGUUUGGCACCUCGAUGUCGGCUCAUCACAUCCUGGGGCUGAAGUAGGUCCCAAGGGUAUGGCUGUUCGCCAUUUAAAGUGGUACGCGAGCUGGGUUUAGAACGUCGUGAGACAGUUCGGUCCCUAUCUGCCGUGGGCGCUGGAGAACUGAGGGGGGCUGCUCCUAGUACGAGAGGACCGGAGUGGACGCAUCACUGGUGUUCGGGUUGUCAUGCCAAUGGCACUGCCCGGUAGCUAAAUGCGGAAGAGAUAAGUGCUGAAAGCAUCUAAGCACGAAACUUGCCCCGAGAUGAGUUCUCCCUGACUCCUUGAGAGUCCUGAAGGAACGUUGAAGACGACGACGUUGAUAGGCCGGGUGUGUAAGCGCAGCGAUGCGUUGAGCUAACCGGUACUAAUGAACCGUGAGGCUUAACCUUACAACGCCGAAGGUGUUU
rnacentral:rRNA from 2 species